GACGAACGCCGGCGGCGUGCCUAAUACAUGCAAGUAGAACGCUGAAGGAGGAGCUUGCUUCUCUGGAUGAGUUGCGAACGGGUGAGUAACGCGUAGGUAACCUGCCUGGUAGCGGGGGAUAACUAUUGGAAACGAUAGCUAAUACCGCAUAAUAGCAGUUGUUGCAUGACAACUGUUUGAAAGGUGCAAUUGCACCACUACCAGAUGGACCUGCGUUGUAUUAGCUAGUUGGUGGGGUAACGGCUCACCAAGGCGACGAUACAUAGCCGACCUGAGAGGGUGAUCGGCCACACUGGGACUGAGACACGGCCCAGACUCCUACGGGAGGCAGCAGUAGGGAAUCUUCGGCAAUGGACGGAAGUCUGACCGAGCAACGCCGCGUGAGUGAAGAAGGGUUUCGGAUCGUAAAGCUCUGUUGUAAGAGAAGAACGAGUGUGAGAGUGGAAAGUUCACACUGUGACGGUAUCUUACCAGAAAGGGACGGCUAACUACGUG
rnacentral:rRNA from 1 species